rnacentral:tRNA from 1 species
GGGGCCGUAGCUCAGUGGUUAGAGCAGGGGACUCAUAAUCCCUCGGUCGAAGGUUCGAUCCCUUCCGGCCCCACGA